ensembl:lncRNA
GAUCCAUGCCUGUGUGAGGCCUUUCAAAGCAGGAUCCCUGUGUUUUGAUGUGAAUGAAUUAAGUGCCGAGUGUCACAGCAAUGAAAGCAGUCCAGCCCAGAAGGAGAGAAUCCUUCUAAGGUUAAGAAGGAAAAAUGGCAUCUGUCCUAGGACUGUGGCAGUUCCUGACUCCAAGACGGCUCUUCAAGACUUUUCCCAAGACCUGCUAACUGUUGCUAAUUGCAGUGAGCCAAAAAUGCUUCUUGUCAUCACUGUCUGGAUGCUUGACAGGGCCAGGCCUGGACAACUGCUUGAGACAAUCAGUCUGAUCCAGCAAUUGGUAAUCAGUGCCUAAAAAUAACUGCACAAAUUGAAGCACCAUAGAAAGCCAUGAUUGGGACUGGUAGAGAACAUGGUUCUGCUUGCAAUUUUGCUAGUAUAGGCAACUAGAAACAAUAGUUGCCUCAACUUCUAUAUUCAUGUUUUCUCAAGGCUUCUGGCUGGUAGGAGUGAGCCUGGCUGGUCAUAACUGCAAGAUCUUGCCUGUUCUAUUUGUAGAACAGAAGAGCUGUACCAGUUAA